rnacentral:rRNA from 1 species
CCAAUAGCGUAUAUUAAAGUUGUUGCAGUUAAAAAGCUCGUAGUUGAAUUUCAGGCCUGGCUGGACGGUCCGCCCUUCGGGUGAGUACUGUCUGUGGUCGGGUCCUACCUUCUGGCGAAGCGUCAUGGCCUUAACCGGCCGUGGCGGGGAACCAGGACUUUUACUGUGAAAAAAUUAGAGUGUUCAAAGCAGGCAAUCGCUUGGAUACAUUAGCAUGGAAUAAUGGAAUAGGACAAUGGUUCUAUUUGUUGGUUUCUAGGACCGUUGUAAUGAUUAAUAGGGAUAGUUGGGGGCAUUAGUAUUCAAUUGUCAGAGGUGAAAUUCUUGGAUUUAUUGAAGACUAACUACUGCGAAAGCAUUUGCCAAGGAUGUUUUCAUUAAUCAAGAACGAAAGUUAGGGGAUCGAAGACGAUCAGAUACCGUCGUAGUCUUAACCAUAAACUAUGCCGACUAGGAAUCGGGCGAUGUUGACAAAAUGACGCGCUCGGCACCUCAU